rnacentral:rRNA from 1 species
UACGGAGGGUGCAAGCGUUGUUCGGAAUUAUUGGGCGUAAAGGGCGUGUAGGCGGUUCGUUAAGUCUGAUGUGAAAGCCCCGGGCUCAACCUGGGAAGUGCAUUGGAAACUGGCGAACUUGAGUACGGGAGAGGGCAGUGGAAUUCCUAGUGUAGGAGUGAAAUCCGUAGAUAUCGGGAGGAACACCAGUGGCGAAGGCGGGUCUCUGGGCCGAUACUGACGCUGAGGAGCGAAAGCGUGGGGAGCGAACAGG